AGAGAAGCCAAAGCAAGAAUCCAGAGAGCCUUCUCUAUCAGACCAACAAUAACAGAUAAGAUGAAUUCAGAACACAGAGUAAGGAGGCAUGUAUAGCGGGUGGUAGAAGAGAAGAAAAAGAUUAGCUUCAUCCAUCCAAAAAAUGAAGUGAACAAGGAAAAAGAUGUAUUCAACGCAAUAGCCCAAAUGGGAGCGACUCCAAAUGUUAGGAGCUAUAAAUCAUGAUUUGUUGGGAAAGUCUUUUCUAUUUGGAAGCUUGUUUGGUGAGACGCAUGAUGGAGGUCAACCAGCUGAGGUUUAUGACCCACCAAUCCAACCGUGGCACCUUUCGGUGAUGUCGACGUGAGUAUUAUUCACAUCCAUAUAUGGUUCAUUCAUUAUAAAGCCACGUGCUCCCUUAUGAUGAACAACAUAACACGCACUGGGAAAUUGCAAAUUGGAUUUUACCAUCACUAGCCAUCAUGAUAAAGCAGGGUAUUACCCAAUGCAAUAGAUUACCAAUAGAGUAUUGCCAUUGUAUGAUUAACAAUGUAGACUUAUUUCAAGGUGCUAGCCAAUUGAGAGCAAUCUCCGAGAUUUCAAAGGAUUUGAACUUGAUCAUCACUAACACUAUUAGAUUAGUGUGCUGUAAAUGACAGUAAUUAGUAAGUGUUUCUUAAUUGAAUAAAGGA